rnacentral:hammerhead_ribozyme from 1 species
GUACUUCUGAUGAGUCCCAGCCUAGGACGAAACAGCUGUCUAAUAC